CGUGCAGGCGGUGGGACAAGUUAACUGUGAAAGCGCCCGGCUCAACCGGGCGAGGACAGUUAAGACUGUUCGACUAGAGGCAGGUAGAGGUGUGUGGAAUUCCGGGUGUAGUGGUGAAAUGCGUAGAGAUCCGGAGGAACACCAGUGGCGAAGGCGACACACUGGGCCUGGCCUGACGCUCAGACGCGAAAGCAUGGGGAGCGAACG
rnacentral:rRNA from 1 species